GAUGAACGCUGGCGGCGUGCCUAAUACAUGCAAGUCGAGCGAACAGACGAGGAGCUUGCUCCUCUGACGUUAGCGGCGGACGGGUGAGUAACACGUGGAUAACCUACCUAUAAGACUGGGAUAACUUCGGGAAACCGGAGCUAAUACCGGAUAAUAUAUUGAACCGCAUGGUUCAAUAGUGAAAGACGGUUUUGCUGUCACUUAUAGAUGGAUCCGCGCCGCUUUAGCUAGUUGGUAAGGUAACGGCUUACCAAGGCAACGAUGCGUAGCCGACCUGAGAGGGUGAUCGGCCACACUGGAACUGAGACACGGUCCAGACUCCUACGGGAGGCAGCAGUAGGGAAUCUUCCGCAAUGGGCGAAAGCCUGACGGAGCAACGCCGCGUGAGUGAUGAAGGUCUUCGGAUCGUAAAACUCUGUUAUUAGGGAAGAACAAAUGUGUAAGUAACUAUGCACGUCUUGACGGUACCUAAUCAGAAAGCCACGGCUAACUACGU
rnacentral:rRNA from 1 species